UGGCGUUUCUGAUUUCUGCUUUGGAAUGAAAUCCUGUCACUGCGAGGCGGGCUGGGCCUGAAGACGUCAGGUGAAGUAAGACUCACGCUAGAAUCUGCAGAACUUGGUCUUGGCACUGGAGAGCAGGACAGUGGCGAGCAGAGGCUGAGAGGCGAGGAGGAAGAUGGUGCAUGAGCCUCUGGAGAUUCAAAGCAGGACCUGGACAGAGCAGAGGGCCCCGCAGCCCUGCCUGGAGGUCCAGAGCUGUUGGGAAUCCGCCUCGGGCCUUGGGCUGCAGCAUGACCCCAAGAACACAGAGCAGGAGGAUGGGGCACCUGCAGGAGCAGGCAGUUAUUCAAAAGUCUUAGUAGCCCAGACGCCGCAGUGAAGGCCAUAGGAAAGUGUGGAUGGACACGCACUCCAUGGAAACCUGGCCUUGAAACGCACCGCGCUUCUCAGGCAGCGUCCACCUCACGCUGACUUCGCGCUUCACCUUGAGGCCUGCGUCUGUUUCUGUUGUAAGGAGGCAUUGCCAUGGAGCCACCGUCAGGGAACGCUGAGAAGAGCCGUUCAACCGAGUCACGACGUCAUUCCCGGAGCCCAGAGCCCGAGUGAGGGAAGCAUGUGGAGCCAGGUCGGGUGGACGGCAUUGGCCGCCAGCAGGAACCAAGCAGGGUGAGAAGCGAGGAGAGGCCAGAGUGGGCAUCCUCGCGAUCCCAGAAGGAUUUCACCGUGGGAGGCUGGGACGACCCCAGGCAAGUCAGGGGCCGUGUUUGCGCCUCGUGCGGAGGUGCCGGAAGCUACGCCUUCUCACAUGUCUCACAGAGAGCCCGGCAGCUGCGGAUCGGCAGUAGUGGGAGCCGUGUCCAUUGCUCUCCGACACGACACGGGCGGCAAGGAAGGAGGAGGAAGAGG
rnacentral:lncRNA from 1 species